GAUCAUGGCUCAGGAUGAACGCUAGCUACAGGCUUAACACAUGCAAGUCGAGGGGAAACGAUAGAGAAAGCUUGCUUUUCUAGGCGUCGACCGGCGCACGGGUGAGUAACGCGUAUCCAACCUGCCCAUCACUUGGGGAUAACCUUGCGAAAGUAAGACUAAUACCCAAUGACGUCUCUAGAAGACAUCUGAAAGAGAUUAAAGAUUUAUCGGUGAUGGAUGGGGAUGCGUCUGAUUAGCUUGUUGGCGGGGUAACGGCCCACCAAGGCGACGAUCAGUAGGGGUUCUGAGAGGAAGGUCCCCCACAUUGGAACUGAGACACGGUCCAAACUCCUACGGGAGGCAGCAGUGAGGAAUAUUGGUCAAUGGACGAGAGUCUGAACCAGCCAAGUAGCGUGCAGGAAGACGGCCCUAUGGGUUGUAAACUGCUUUUAUAAGGGAAUAAAGUGAGUCUCGUGAGACUUUUUGCAUGUACCUUAUGAAUAAGGACCGGCUAAUUCCGUG
rnacentral:rRNA from 1 species